rnacentral:lncRNA from 1 species
CAUCAUCUGCAUCAUUUGGUCAUUUCUGGAGCUCCAACUUCCUCUCAAGUGGUCACACUUGGUGCAUAGGACCUCAAAUAAGGAGCCCCAGUAAAAGAUAUCGGUGAUUUAAUUGAUUAAGGAAUAUACAUUGCAAAGGUACCUAAACGUAAAUUGGCUGGUAUUAGCUCCCUAGCGUCGUGAUAAGUCUCGCAAGCUUGAUUGCAGUAUCUGAUGGAACAAUAUUUUAUUAUUAUUUUGAUCCGCUGUGGAUAUAUUCGACUUCUGUAAUACAUUUGAUAUUACAACCAGAGGUUGAAGUAUAUAUUUAUCUUUAAGCUUCCGCUGUGCAUUAUAUAAUUGUGUGGUUUGACUAUAUUGUUGCCAACAUCGUCACGGUAAUCCCCCACCGGGCCCACUGGUGAGACACGUGGAAAUCGGGGUGUGACAAAACCACUGUCCCAAUUUUUAAUUUCAAAGGUCUGGCCCACAUUCAAUUAUGAAACCGCUGAUGUUCAUUGAAAUUUCAAACGACUGAUGCUCAUUAAAAUGGGAGGGUAAUUUGAAAUUUCAAACGAAUUGAAGCGGUGGUUCUUGUGUAACAGUGUUUAGUGUAUCGAUGUUUAGAUUUUGUUACAGCUUCGAUGACGGUUGUUAGAUUUAUUAAAAUCACUGCUCUUAAACAUUCUCUGUUGAACUGCAUCAUCUGUUAG